rnacentral:rRNA from 1 species
UCGGGAAUUUUGGGCAAUGGGGGAAACCCUGACCCAGCAACGCCGCGUGAAGGAUGAAGUAUUUCGGUAUGUAAACUUCGAAAGAAUAGGAAGAAUAAAUGACGGUACUAUUUAUAAGGUCCGGCUAACUACGUGCCAGCAGCCGCGGUAAUACGUAGGGACCAAGCGUUGUUCGGAUUUACUGGGCGUAAAGGGCGCGUAGGCGGCAUGACAAGUCACUUGUGAAAUCUCUGGGCUUAACCCAGAACGGCCAAGUGAUACUGUCGCGCUAGAGUGCAGAAGGGGCAAUCGGAAUUCUUGGUGUAGCGGUGAAAUGCGUAGAUAUCAAGAGGAACACCUGAGGUGAAGACGGGUUGCUGGGCUGACACUGACGCUGAGGCGCGAAAGCCAGGGGGAGCAAACGGG